rnacentral:rRNA from 1 species
CGAGCGAGCUGAAUUCAAAGAUUCCCUUCGGGGUGAUUUGUUGGACGCUAGCGGCGGAUGGGUGAGUAACACGUGGGCAAUCUGCCCUAAAGACUGGGAUACCACUUGGAAACAGGUGCUAAUACCGGAUAACAACAUGAAUCGCAUGAUUCAAGUUUGAAAGGCGGCGCAAGCUGUCACUUUAGGAUGAGCCCGCGGCGCAUUAGCUAGUUGGUGGGGUAAAGGCCUACCAAGGCAAUGAUGCGUAGCCGAGUUGAGAGACUGAUCGGCCACAUUGGGACUGAGACACGGCCAAAACCUCCU